rnacentral:rRNA from 1 species
AGCAGCCGCGGUAAUUCCAGCUCCAAUAGCGUAUAUUAAAGUUGUUGCAGUUAAAAAGCUCGUAGUUGAAUUUCGGGGUUAGUAGGUUGGUCGUGCCACUGGUACGUACUGGUCUCACUGAUUCCUCCUUCCUGAUGAACUGUAAUGCCAUUAAUCUGGUGUUGCAGGGAAACUGGACUGUUACUUUGAAAAAAUUAGAGUGUUUAAAGCAAGCUAACGCUUGAAUACAUUAGCAUGGAAUAAUGAAAUAGGACGUUCGAUCCUAUUUUGUUGGUUUCUAGGAUUGACGUAAUGAUUAAUAGGGAUAGUUGGGGGCAUUAGUAUUCAAUUGUCAGAGGUGAAAUUCUUGGAUUUAUUGAAGACUAACUACUGCGAAAGCAUUUUGCCAAGGAUGUUUUCAUUAAUCAAGAACGAAAGUUAGGGGAUCGAAGACGAUCAGAUACCGUCGUAGUCUUAACCAUAAACUAUGCCGACUAGGGAUCGGAUGAUGUUAAUUUUUUAAUGACUCAUUCGGCGCCUU